UCCCUAUGGGGUGCAGCAGGCGCGAAACCUCCACAAUGCGCGAAAGCGUGAUGGGGUUAGCCCGAGUGCUGUCCGAAAAGGAUGGCUUUUCCUUGGCGUAAAAACCCAGAGGAAGAAAGGGGGGGCAAGACUGGUGUCAGCCGCCGCGGUAAUACCAGCCCCCUGAGUGGUAAGGACGAUUAUUUGGCUUAAAGCGUCCGUAGCCGGCUUAGUGAGUCUUUUGUUAAAUUCAAUGACUCAAUCAUUGAACUGCAAGAGAUACUGCUUUGCUAGAGGACGGGAGAGGUCGACGGUAGUCCAGGGGUAGGGGUGAAAUCCUAUAAUCCUUGGAGGACCACCAGUGGCGAAGGCGGUCGACUAGAACGUGCCUGACGGUGAGGGACGAAAGCUGGGGGAGCGAACCGGAUUAGAUACCCGGGUAGUCCCAGCUGUAAACGAUGCGGGCUAGGUGUAAGGGCAGCUACGUGCUGCUCUUGUGCCGCAGAGAAAUUGUUAAGCCCGCCGCCUGGGGAGUACGAUCGCAAGAUUGAAACUUAAAGGAAUUGGCGGGGGAGCACCACAAGGGGUGAAGGCUGCGGUUUAAUUGGAUUCAACGCCGGAA
rnacentral:rRNA from 1 species